CUGUGGCAAUAGACUUGGGUAUCUCCAACUUAGAAGUCAGUUUCUUAGAGGGUAGAGAACUAGAUUUGUCAGAUGGGAGGGAAGAACUGAGUUUCAUAGCAGCACCUGGUUUUUCAGGUUUAGAGCUGGGUUCCAUGGGAGCACUAGGUUUCUCAGAGGAAUGAGAACUAGACACCUCAGAUGGUGAGGAACUAGGUUCCAUGGGAGCGCUAGGUUUCUCAGGUUUAGAACCUGGUUUCUCAGAAGGAUGAGCACUAGACUCCUUAGAUGGAGAGGAACCAGGUUCCAUGGGAGCACUCGGUUUCUCAGGUUUAGAACUGGGUUCCAUGGGGACACUAGGUUUCUCAGGUUCAGAGCUGGGUUUCUCAGAUGGAUAAGAGCUAGACUUGUCAGAUGGAGAGGAGCUGAGUUCCAUGGGAGCAGUUGGUUUCUCAGGUUUAGAACUGGGUUCCAUGGGGACACUAGGUUUCUCAGGUUUAGAACUGGGUUCCAUGGGGACACUAGGUUUCUCAGGUUUAGAACUGGGUUCCAUGGGAGCACUCGGUUUCUCAGAUUUAGAACCGGGUUCCAUGGGAGCACUCGGUUUCUC